AGACUCGAACCCGAGACCUUGACCCGAGUCGAAUCUCAGCUGAACCCAGCCCAACCAACCGGUCUGUAGUUGUUUUGUUAAUUAUAUAUGGAAUAAAAUGUAUAUAAGGUAGAAGUUAGUAAUAGAUAAUACUCGGAAAAAGAGGGGUUGCAGCGAGUUUUGAACCCGCGAUUCCAAGUAUGAGCCAAGCAGUAGCCAACCAACUGAGUUGUAAUUGUUUCGUUAAUCAUAUAUGGGGCGGAAUUAAUUUAAGUAAUAGAUGGAACCGAAAUAAUCCAGGUUAUUAAAGGAGAUUAUUUUCUUUUCCCGAAACCUAAAACCUAAUCUCUCCUUUUCUCCCCACGCACGCGACGCCAUUUUCUUCUCUCGGGCGAAACCGCAGCCAAGGCUAGGGUUCCUCCCUCCGGCGUCGGCGACGUGCUUUUCCGGCCGGUUUUCACCCGUGGGUGACCAUUCCGACAAGGAGAACUCGGGAGAUACAAGGAACCGGUAGAAUCGAAGCUCCACCGAAACCCUAAAGCAUUUCCCUUCGGUUGUAAGUCCAAGAACCCGAUAUAAAGGUAAAGAUAAAGGAAAAGCUAAAGUAUGAAAGGAAGGAGACAAGGAGCUGAUGGAGGUGUGAUGUGUGGACUAUGGAAGCCUUGGGACUAAGUUUUAGAAAUCUAUAAAUACUUGUAUUUAGACUAUUGGAGUUUUUGCCACCAUGUGAUGAUUUGGUUUAGCUUCUUAGAUGUUUUAUGUUUUAUAUUUAUUAGAACUGCGUGGUUGUUUGUUUAAUAUGAUUGUUAUAUAUGUAUCCAUGAUUAUUGUCACCGGUACAGGGGAGGUGCUGUCGGAAUUUUUGUCUAGCAGAAAUCUCUCUCGAGGCCUGACAAUAGUUUUAAAAAAAAAGUUAGUAGUCAAGUAGGUAGCGUUAACCACGUUAGGGAGUUAGUAGUUAAGUUAGUAACGGUCACCCUUACAGACUAGUGGUAAGAAGGGUGGUCGUUACAAAUAUAUCUAUGUGUUUGAAAUUAUAUGCUCUUGAGUCUUCUAAUAUUGAUUGUUAGUGUUGUAGUGUAAGAACAGGAGAUUUAUUUUAUCAUGGAUCGAUAUUUUCAACAUUUUGGAGGUGGAAUGGAGAGUCAGUAUUUUCAGCUUGAGCAUCAAUUUUGUCCAACCAUGGAUCAACAAAAUAGGUAUGAGUCAUUUUCUAAUACUUAUAAUUUUAAUUGAGUGGAUCAUUCAUAUUUCAGGUAUGAAAAUGCACAAAGACCAUUUAUUGAGCUAAAUCCAACCUACCAAAAUUCAUAUGGGUUUUUGAAGAAUGAUCCUCAAUUUGAAGUGUCAACAUGGAAAGCCAAUAAGGUUAUAAAGCAAAUGAGAGAGCAUCAAGAGCAACAAUUUACAAGGAUACUGAAUAUAUAGAUUCAAUUAGAUCAAAUUGCAUCAUUUAUCAUCCAGCUACAAACAUAAAACUCCAGUGGGGAGAUGGAAAGUAGAGAUUGUGUCAGGCCUGACCCUACUUCCAUUACUUCACAAGAUUUUUCUAGUAUUUUUUGUGAUGAUGAUGUAGUUGUAUAGAUUUUUGAUUCUACUAAUAUUAUUGCUGUAGAUAUUAUGAAUGAUGCAGGAACUGAACAUUUACUUGUUUAUGAUAUAAGUGUAGGGGAUUGCACAUUAAAAGCAAUACCUCAAGAAUAACUUUUUCCAGUUGCACAAUCACCUGAACUAGAUAUUGAUGAUAUAAGUGUAGGGGAUUGCACAUUGGAAGCAAUAUCCCAAGAAUCACCUGAACCAGAGCUUGAACCAUUACUUGAUGAUGAGGAGGUCACAAACACCAUUUUAGAACCCACAUGUACCUUUCAACAUGACAAGGUUAGUGUUUCUUGUGAUUUUUUAGAAAAUUUCUUUAAGGCACUAGUUUUUGAAUUAUAGAAUGUGAUGCUCAUGUUGAUACAUUUAGUGUAAAGAUUAAUUAUGUUUCACUAUUCUCUUAUCAUGAAAGUGUUCGGGUGGAGUUGUUUUUAUUUGCUUUUGUAGGACACAAUAGAUGUUUAAAAUGAGUACUUAAUCCGAAUCGCCUCCAACCUCCAGAGAGAAUUUUCAAAAGCAAAAUGAUGAAUAAAAAGAAUUUGAUUGUAACCAUAAUUACUCCACUACCAGAGUGGAUUCUCUGACUAAAUCUUCUUCAACCACCGGGAAUAAAGGAGAGUUGGUUCCAAUUUAGUUUUCUUUUGCAUUUUAAUUCAUGCUUUGAGUUUAGUCUUUUCUUCAAUAAAUUCCUUGUGUGCAAAUGUUGAUUUUGGUUCUGAGAAAUUAAUUCUUUACUAUAGGAAGUUUUCUUAUUGCAUUUAGUUUUGACUUUGAAUAAGAAAAUGACACCCCUUAACAUUUUCCUAUGAUAUGUUAGAGAUAGAGAAUGUGAGCUAGAUUUGAGUAUCUUAUUUUGGGCUUAAUGUCAUAAAUGGACUUUUAAUUUUCUCAAGGUUGUUACUUAAUGAUGGACACUUGAUUGGUAAAUUGAGAUGAUACAUUUAUACUUAGUGAGGAUGAACCUUAAUUGAGUGAUGCACUUAUGUUAUUGUUACUCUAGAACUUGCUUUGAUUCUUUCAAAACUACAUUCCAUGGAUGGGAUCAUACUUAUGAAAGUGUAUCCUUUGUUUUCCACUCUUCCACAUGUUUCUUGCUAAUCUUCUUGUUAAUCAUCAUAUCAUUUUAUUUUAUCUUAAUUCUUAAUUUUUCUUUGGAUGUGGAUAUUUUGAAUGUUAUAUGAUGAGUGAUUUGGCCAAGAGGACAAAGUUCAAGUGUGGGGGAGGUGUUUUGUGUUUUUGAGUGCUUGGAGUAAUUGGAUGCAUUUGUUUAUGGCCGGAAUUCAUAUUCAAGCUAAUGAUGAUGGAGUGUUGGGAUGAUGCCAUGGAGUUUAAUGUUAGAGGCUAUGGAGUUUGAAUUCUGUACAAUUCAGGAAGGUUUCAGGGUUUGGAAAAUGGUUGAGCAAGGGCUGGUUUUGGGAGGUGUUUCUUGUGCAAAAAUGCUGUAAAAUCUUUUGUGAAUGAAUGGCUCUUAUCAUUCUGUGCUAAAGGUAUCCAUUCUCUGAGUUUGAACAUGUCAAGAGCAAGCUUCUAUAGCCUUGAAUUUUGGAAUUUGAUACUAUGGUGAUACAUUUAAAACACCAUAGAUAGGUUUGGGAGAAGGUUUUGAAAUUACUGAAUUCUGAAUGCUAAAAUCCGGCCAUGCUGAUCACUGCCAUUCGAGAAAACCAUAGAAAUCUUCACUGCUCAAAUCUGGAAGUCACAACCAUUUUGAACAUCACUGAUUUCAGAAAUAUCACUGAUUUUGAACAUUUCUGUUUUGGAAACAUGGAAGCUGAUCACUGCUGGGAUGCUGUGAGAAUUUCAGUGAGAAACAGAUUGAGAGUUGGUGUAGAAUCUGGAAACAUUGCUGUUGAGCAAUUGGAUUAAAGGUUGGCUAAUUCGUGAACUCAAAUCGAAGUGGAGAAAAUUCAGAAUGGAAUUUAUAACAGAAACAUGAAUCCACAGAAACAGGAAAUCUGCAGAACAUGGAAGUGCAGAAACAAGGAAGCUGGAAACUGUUGUGUAUCAAAUGGUGUAUCAAAAAUUGGGAGCAACAUUCAAGCCAAGGGGAAGUUCAAGCGGAGAGACAAGGAAUUAAUACUUGACUGGUUGUUGAAAUCUGGGUACAAUUGUAUGGACAGUGAAGAGAAGAUGUAGGCUUGCUAAAUCUGAACAUUACUGUUGUGCACUCUGUAAGCUGAGUUGCAUUGAACUUGAUGUUCUUAUGAUUGAUGUUAGUAUAGAAUUUGCAAUUUCCAGAACUUAAUAGAAUUAAAAUCACUGAAAAUUCAGUUGAACAAUUCUGAUGAAGAGUUAACUGAUGCUUGAGUAGGGGCUUGCAUGAGUUGGGUUUAAGGAAGUGUUGCUGUGAGUUCAGUUGGUUCUUCACCCAUACAAGUAAAAGGAAAUCAGAAGAAGCAAAAUUGAAACCAUUGACUUCAGAAAUUCAGAAUUGUGUGUUGCAAAUCUGGAAGGAAUUAAAUGCAGGAAUCCCACAAUAAUGGAAGGGUUGUAAAGUUCUCUCUAAGUUGAACAACAUUAAGUUGGAUUUAAUGAAAAUGAGUACAUAAGAAGUAUCGCCAAUGCCGUGGAAUGCAGUAAAGGGCAGUGACAAGAAGAGCUUCAGAAAUGACAUAAGUUGCAGAAGAGAUUUGGGAAUGUUAAGGAAAUCAAAUGAAGCUAAAUCUGAAAUAUGAAACUCUUGUGAAAAUAUAGUGGGUUGUGAAAAGUUUGUAUCAAAGUAGUAUCAAGAUUCAAGAGUAGAAUUUUAAUCAGUGAAAAGGGUCAAGUGAAGCUCUGUGGGGUGCAGAAACAAAUGGUAUCAGAGGCCUUCCGUGAUUUCUACAGACUUUAUACUUUGAUAGCAAAGGAUUUGAAUUGCUGAAAUAAAAAACAAGUGAAGAGAAAAUUCAGAAACUGUGAAUUACUGAAACUGAAGCAUUAAAUGGAAGAAAAUAGGAUUGGAACUUUUAAUGAUGAGGUAUUACUCAUUUCAUGAAGCAUGUCAGAAUGUAAGUUAAACUUUGAGAAGGAGUAAGGAAGACAAAGGCUCUGGGUAAAAUCUGCAGAAAUUCAAUGCAAGAAAUUCAGAAACAGAACUGAAGCAGUGGGCUCUUGUAGCUACUGGAAUCUUAUCAAAAUGGAUCAUAAUUCAAAAUUCAAUUGGCAUCAAAGGAUCUUGGACUCGAAUUAAUUUGAACCAAAAUUGUGCUCGAAUAGGAGUUUAAACAAGGCAAUCAAGUUUUACAGCAAUUUGGACCGUCCAUCUAGGAUCAAGAGAGAUAUGAGCUAUUCAUCGAAGAUCUAUUCCAUUCAAGCCAUGUGGAAGUAGAUCACAUCCAUUGAUGAAGAUCCAGAGCUUUUGAUCCAAAUCUAAGAUGUUUGGACCAUUGAUCAAGAUGGAAGAAUUAUGGACCAUCUGAUUAGAUUAGAAGUUUAUUUAAAAGGCGUGAGAAGCUACAGUGAUUUAGGGCUCGGGCAUUUUCUUUCCUCGCGAUUUUUCACUGUUUAUCUUCUUCCUCCUGAUGCUUCCGUCCCCAUUCCAGAUCCAAGAGUAAGUCUUCUCUACCGACGGCGAUCUCUGAGCUGUUGGCGUCCAUCAUCCGAUGUCAGAGAGUGGCAGAGGGAGGUACCCCAAUCCGCGAGAUUGAUUUCUAUUCACUGCCACAUUCCAUAUCGAGCGAGGUUCCCAAUCUGCGAAUUUUGCCAUCCACGGAGCUUGAAGGGAGGUACCCAAGAGUUUCUAAUUCCAUUCCGAUCUUCAUUCCGCAGCAAUACUAGAUUAAUUUGAUCAAUCAAUCUGGUUAAGCAAUUCACAGAGUUCAUCCUCUGUUCUUCGGGCGAUGUGAUUACCAGCUGUUGCGAGCUUGAAGGGAGGUACCCAGGAGCUGUGAGAAUCAUCUGAUAUUAGAUGAGAGCUUGAACAAUCUUCGUUGGAUGCCUGAAGGGAGGUUCCCAGGAGCAUUUCUGUGUCAUGACAGAGUGAGUGGUUGAAUCUUGGUUUUGAAUAUGGAAUGUGUUUUGUUUUUGUUUACCUUUGAUUUCUAAUUCCCUUGCUCAGAUCUGAUGAUCUGAUAGCAUAGUUUGCAAUUUACUUUCUAUUUUGAACUUUCCAUUUCGUUUACUGAAAAUGUGUUUAGUUAGUUAUUGAGUUUGGCAAA